AUUGAACGCUGGCGGCAUGCCUAACACAUGCAAGUCGAGCGGAUGAAGGGAGCUUGCUCCUGUAUUCAGCUGCGGACGGGUGGGUAAUGCCUAGGAAUCUGCCUGGUAGUUGGGGAUAACGUCCGGAAACGGGCGCUAAUACCGCAUACGUCCUGAGGUAGAAAGUGGGGGAUCUUCGGACCUCACGCGAUCAGAUGAGCCUAGGUCGGAUUAGCUAGUUGGUGUGGUAAAGGCCUACCAAGGCGACGAUCCGUAACUGGUCUGAGAGGAUGAUCAGUCACACUGGAACUGAGACACGGUCCAGACUCCUACGGGAGGCAGCAGUGGGGAAUAUUCGACAAUGGGCGAAAGCCUGAUGCAGCCAUGCCGCGUGUGUGAAGAAGGUCUUCGGAUUGUAAAGCACUUUAAGUUGGGAGGAAGGGAAGUAAGUUAAUACCUUGCUGUUUUGACGUUACCAACAGAAUAAGCACCGGCUAACUUCGUG
rnacentral:rRNA from 1 species